rnacentral:rRNA from 1 species
ACGGGAGGCAGCAGUGGGGGAUAUUGCACAAUGGAGGAAACCCUGAUGCAGCAACGCCGCGUGAGUGAAGAAGUAUUUCGGUAUGUAAAGCUCUAUCAGCAGGGAAGAAAAUGACGGUACCUGACUAAGAAGCCCCGGCUAACUACGUGCCAGCAGCCGCGGUAAUACGUAGGGGCAAGCGUUAUCCGGAUUUACUGGGUGUAAAGGGAGCGUAGGUGGCAAUGUAAGUCAGAAGUGAAAACCCUGGGCUUAACUUAGGGAUUGCUUUUGAAACUAUGUAGCUAGAGUGCUGGAAGGGUAAGCGGAAUUCCUGGUGUAGCGGUGAAAUGCGUAGAUAUUAGGAAGAACACCGGUGGCGAAGGCGGCUUACUGGACAGUUACUGACACUGAGGCUCGAAAGCGUGGGGAGCAAACAGGAUUAGAUACCCUGGUA